rnacentral:tRNA from 1 species
GGGGAUUUAGCUCAGUGGUAGAGCGCUUGCCUGGCAAGGCCCUGGGUUCAGUCCCCA